CAACAUAUCUGGGAUCCCCUUUUUAUAGGCCGGAAAAGCAACGGGUUGAGAGCGAUUGUUUGUAACCAUCUCAUCGUGGGCCGCACGGGGCCAGGGAGAAUUUAUCAUGAGGAGUAAUGGGUGGAGUCGUGGCUGUUACCAUGGCUCACCACGUGGAAUCAGUUGCGGGGAGUGGAGCGGCGUUCGUUGUCGUGACUUGCCAGGG
rnacentral:lncRNA from 1 species